CGGUUUUGUCGCGUCUGCUGUGAAAUCCGGAGGCUCAACCUCCGGCCUGCAGUGGGUACGGGGCAGACUAGAGUGCGGUAGGGGAGAUUGGAAUUCCUGGUGUAGCGGUGGAAUGCGCAGAUAUCAGGAGGAACACCGAUGGCGAAGGCAGAUCUCUGGGCCGUAACUGACGCUGAGGAGCGAAAGGGUGGGGAGCAAACAGGCUUAGAUACCCUGGUAGUCCACCCCGUAAACGUUGGGAACUAGUUGUGGGGUCCAUUCCACGGAUUCCGUGACGCAGCUAACGCAUUAAGUUCCCCGCCUGGGGAGUACGGCCGCAAGGCUAAAACUCAAAGGAAUUGACGGGGACCCGCACAAGCGGCGGAGCAUGCGGAUUAAUUCGAUGCAACGCGAAGAACCUUACCAAGGCUUGACAUAUACGAGAACGGGCCAGAAAUGGUCAACUCUUUGGACACUCGUAAACAGGUGGUGCAUGGUUGUCGUCAGCUCGUGUCGUGAGAUGUUGGGUUAAGUCCCGCAACGAGCGCAACCCUCGUUCUAUGUUGCCAGCACGUAAUGGUGGGAACUCAUGGGAUACUGCCGGGGUCAACUCGGAGGAAGGUGGGGAUGACGUCAAAUCAUCAUGCCCCUUAUGUCUUGGGCUUCACGCAUGCUACAAUGGCCGGUACAAAGGGCUGCAAUACCGUGAGGUGGAGCGAAUCCCAAAAAGCCGGUCCCAGUUCGGAUUGAGGUCUGCAACUCGACCUCAUGAAGUCGGAGUCGCUAGUAAUCGCAGAUCAGCAACGCUGCGGUGAAUACGUUCCCGGGUCUUGUACACACCGC
rnacentral:rRNA from 1 species